CCGUAGCCCCGGUAGUAGCGGCAUCCUUUUGGGGCAUGGUUUGCCCCAAAAGAUAUAGCGGAUGACGGGAAAUAGC
rnacentral:sRNA from 1 species